rnacentral:rRNA from 1 species
CCUACGGGUGGCAGCAGUGAGGAAUAUUGGUCAAUGGGCGUAAGUCUGAACCAGCCAAGUCGCGUGAGGGAUGAAGGUUCUAUGGAUUGUAAACCUCUUUUAUACGGGAAUAAAGUGCGGGACGUGUCCCGUUUUGUAUGUACCUUAUGAAUAAGGAUCGGCUAACUCCGUGCCAGCAGCCGCGGUAAUACGGAGGAUCCGGGCGUUAUCCGGAUUUAUUGGGUUUAAAGGGUGCGUAGGCGGCCGUUUAAGUCAGCGGUGAAAGUCUGUGGCUCAACCAUGGAAUUGCCGUUGAAACUGGGAGGCUUGAGUAUGUUUGAGGCAGGCGGAAUGCGUGGUGUAGCGGUGAAAUGCUUAGAUAUCACGCAGAACCCCGAUUGCGAAGGCAGCCUGCCAAGCCAUGACUGACGCUGAUGCACGAAAGCGUGGGGAUCAAACAGGAUUAGAUACCCUAGUAGUC